rnacentral:rRNA from 1 species
GGGCGUAAAGAGCUCGUAGGCGGUUGGUCGCGUCUGCUGUGAAAACCCGAGGCUCAACCUCGGGCCUGCAGUGGGUACGGGCCAACUAGAGUGCGGUAGGGGAGAUCGGAAUUCCUGGUGUAGCGGUGGAAUGCGCAGAUAUCAGGAGGAACACCAAUGGCGAAGGCAGAUCUCUGGGCCGUAACUGACGCUGAGGAGCGAAAGCGUGGGGAGCGAACAGGAUUAGAUACCCUGGUAGUCCACGCCGUAAACGGUGGGAACUAGUUGUAGGGGCCAUUCCACGGCUUCUGUGACGAAGCUAACGCAUUAAGUUCCCCGCCUGGGGAGUACGGCCGCAAGGCUAAAACUCAAAGGAAUUGACGGGGGCCCGCACAAGCGGCGGAGCAUGUGGAUUAAUUCGAUGCAACGCGAAGAACCUUACCAAGGCUUGACAUAUAGAGGAAACGUGCAGAGAUGUACGCCCCGCAAGGUCUCUAUACAGGUGGUGCAUGGUUGUCGUCAGCUCGUGUCGUGAGAUGUUGGGUUAAGUCCCGCAACGAGCGCAACCCUCGUCCUAUGUUGCCAGCACGUAAUGGUGGGAACUCAUGGGAGACUGCCGGGGUCAACUCGGAGGAAGGUAAU